rfam:Triticum aestivum genome assembly, contig: Triticum_aestivum_CS42_TGACv1_scaffold_333090_4BS
AUAAUACUCCCUCCGUCCAGAAUAUCUUGUCAUCAAAAUGGAUGUGUCUAGAACUAAAAUACAUCUAGAUACAUCCAUUUCAAUGAAAAGUAUUUUCGGACGGAGGGAGUAGUAG